GCUAGGUGUGGUGGUGCGCACCUGAAAUCCCUGCAGCUCAGGAGGCUAAAGCAGAAGGAUCUCAGGUUCAAAGCCAGCCUCAGCAACUUAGUGAGGCCCUGAGAAACUCAGAGAGACCCUGUCUCUA
rnacentral:sRNA from 1 species